rnacentral:rRNA from 1 species
AUUGAACGCUGGCGGCAGGCUUAACACAUGCAAGUCGAACGAGUGGCGGAAGGGUGAGUAAUGCUUGGGCAUCUGGCUGGUGGAUGGGGAUAACGACGGGAAACUGUCGCUACUACCGCGUACAAUAGGAUGAGCCCAAGUGGGGUUAGGUAGUUGGUGGGGUAAUGGCCUACCAAGCCGACGAUCUGUAGCUGGUCUGAGAGGAUGACCAGCCACACCGGGACUGAGACACGGCCCAGACUCCUACGGGAGGCAGCAGUGGGGAAUAUUGGGCAAUGGGCGCAAGCCUGAUGCAGCCAUGCCGCGUGAAUGAAGAAGGCCUUCGGGUUGUAAAGUACUUUCGGUGGCGAGGCGUUACCCACAGAAUAAGCACCGGCUAACUCCGUGCCAGCAGCCGCGGUAAUAC